rnacentral:rRNA from 1 species
UACGAGAAGGUCCAAGUGCUACUCGGAAUUACUGAUCCGUAGAGAGCGCGUAUUCGGUUUAUUAGAUUGGGAGUGACAGCCCCGGGUUCAACCUGUGAACUGCUUCCGAAACUGAUUCCCUAUAUCACGAAAGAGGGAGGUAGAAUUCACAGUGUAGCGGUGGAAUGCGUAGAUACAGUGAAGAAUACCAAUGGCGAAGGCAGCCUCUUGUCUCUGUACUGACCAUGAGGUGCGAAAGCGUGGGUAGUGAACAGGAUUAGAUACCGCGGUAGUACACGCCGUAAUCGAUGACAAUCAGCUGUUGCGAGAGCAAUUCUUUUCAGUGGCGCAGCUAACGUCUUAAGUUGUCCUCGUGGGGAGUGCGAAGGCAAGGAUAAAACUCAAAAGAAAUGACGGGGACCCGCACAAGCGGUGGAGCAGGUGGUCAUAAUUCGAUGCAACGCGAAAAGCCUUACGUACUCUUGACAUCCUUGGAAUAUCUUGUAAUGAGAGAGUGCCUUUUGGAAGCAAGUGACAGGUGCAGCAUGUCUGUGGUCAUAUCGGGUCUUGAGAUGUUCCGAUAAUUAGGAGAACGAGCGCAACCCUUAGCCUUAUCGGGCAGCGGAUCGGCCGGGAUCUAUAAGGGGACGUCCGGCGAUAAUCCGGAGGAAGGUGAGGAGGACGUCAAGUCAUCAGGGGUCCUUCCGAGUAGGGCUGCACAUCGUCUUACAAUGCGAAGGACAGAGGGACGUCAAAGCGCGACCAGGAGAUCAUUUCAUAAAGCUUUUGGUAGUCCGGACCGCAGUAUGCAACUAGGCAGCAAGAAGUCGGAAUCGGUAGUAAUCGGGGACCAUCACAGCGCGCUGCAUACGGUCUCCGGUUU